GAUUAUUAUGGCAUUAUCUUAUGCAGAUAUAAUUUUUAUUGAUCACUUAGUUAUCUAUUACAUCACGGUUAUUGAGUAACUAAUAUAGUAUUAAUGCCGGUAUAUCACCUGAACCGAUCGUGCAGACAUUUUAUAAUAUGAUAAUUGUCGCACCGGAACUAUUUGGAUUGCACUAAUAUGUAUAUCAGGUCACAUUCAAAUUCAAUUAUGAUUAAAUUGUCCGAAACUUCGAAUAUAAUAUAAGUAUUUUUACUCAGUGUUCUAGAAGGACACCGUCAAAUUCGUUUUCAAAACACAUUCCUCGAAUCAAUGACAUGUUACAAUGUAGUGCUAUUACCUACGUUUGAUGUUUACGUUAUAAGCUACGUUUAAGCUAUGUUCAACGUUCAUAACUUCGUAACAAAAACAAAAUCAGUACGCUGUGUCACUGUUUACACCGAUAUUGUUUUUUGUUUAAAAUAUGACAUAAUAUUGAAAAAUUGAUUAAUUUUUUCGUUCGGGGAAAAGUAAAAAAAAAACUAUCUCAUUUUAUAACAUAAAUCUAUACGUUCAAUCAUGCGUACAGUAAAAUAUAGCGUGCCUGCUAUAUAAGUAUAUAGUGUAAUAAUUAAUUUCACGGAGGAUGUACUUAUUAUGGCUGUAUAUAGCAACAAAAAAAAAAAAAACGGAUAUAACUGCAAUAUAUAUGAUUGUCAUGCAGCAAACGAUCGAGGAAAUGCGAUAAAAAUCUUAAAGUUAUUACUUAUUAUUUUGCUUGGGUCGUAUAUUAAUAUAAACAGUUAUACAUUUUUAAUUAUCUAAAAAAACAUUCAACUGUGCAAUAGGUAUAAUAUGCUUGUGUGACAUUUCUAAUUUGUUUAGAUUACAAAACAAGACGUGUCAACUGGUCGGUUAUUACUAAUUAGUUAUUACAUUAUAAAACUAGCCUAUCUAUAACACGUGCAUAGACGCAUAGUUUACACAUAUUAGUACGAAGUACCUAACCGUGCACGAUAGUUACUAACCAGAAUCUAUGGCGUACACCCGAGUAAUCACUAUAGUAGCAUAGUCCGUUCCUAUCAUUAAGAAAUAUUACACGACGUGGUAUUGUACAUACUGCAGAGGGGACAUCAUGGGAUUUCUUCAAACAAAAUUAAUGUUUGUAUAUUGGAGCAAAAACGGCUAACACUUACAGAUUCGGUUCAACAGCUGGCAGACGGCAGCCAUCACGACUGUACAACAUAACGACGAGGGCUAUAAGCCGCAGAGGUAGGUUGGUUGCCUAUAUGUUAUGGAAACCUGUCCAAAACGAAAUUGUUUCCCGCUGCCGAUUCCUGUAUGCAGUCUGCUUGUCGUGCUGUUUAUGUAGAAACUACAAAGUAAAAUUAAUGUUUUAUUAUGUUUUAUAAUUCACUUUACUCAUUACAGAACACCAGUUUUGGUGUAGAAAUAAUAAAUUACAAAUUUUUAAGCACAAUUAUUAUUAGUAAUUGCUGCAUAUAGCCCUCCACGUGUAUUAACUAUAUCAUAAUAUGUGUCCCUACCUACCUGUACUAAUAAUAAUUAGCGUCAUGUA
rnacentral:lncRNA from 1 species